UACGUAGGGUGCAAGCGUUAAUCGGAAUUACUGGGCGUAAAGCGUGCGCAGGCGGUUGUGCAAGACAGAUGUGAAAGCCCCGGGCUCAACCUGGGAAUGGCAUUGGAAACUGGCGAGCUAGAGUGUGGCAGAGGGGGGUGGAAUUCCGCGUGUAGCAGUGAAAUGCGUAGAGAUGCGGAGGAACACCGAUGGCGAAGGCAGCCCCCUGGGUUAACACUGACGCUCAGGCACGAAAGCGUGGGGAGCAAACAGG
rnacentral:rRNA from 1 species